rnacentral:rRNA from 1 species
AACGAACGCUGGCGGCAGGCUUAACACAUGCAAGUCGAGCGCCCCGCAAGGGGAGCGGCAGACGGGUGAGUAACGCGUGGGAAUCUACCCAUCUCUACGGAAUAACGCAUGGAAACGUGUGCUAAUACCGUAUACGUCCUUAGGGAGAAAGAUUUAUCGGAGAUGGAUGAGCCCGCGUUGGAUUAGCUAGUUGGUGGGGUAAAGGCCUACCAAGGCGACGAUCCAUAGCUGGUCUGAGAGGAUGAUCAGCCACACUGGGACUGAGGCACGGCCCAGACUCCUACGGGAGGCAGCAGUGGGGAAUAUUGGACAAUGGGCGCAAGCCUGAUCCAGCCAUGCCGCGUGAGUGAUGAAGGCCCUAGGGUUGUAAAGCUCUUUCACCGGUGAAGAUAAUGACGGUAACCGGAGAAGAAGCCCCGGCUAACUUCGUGCCAGCAGCCGCAGUAAUAC